UACGGGGGGGGCAAGCGUUGUUCGGAAUUACUGGGCGUAAAGGGCUCGUAGGCGGCCAACUAAGUCAGACGUGAAAUCCCCAGGCUCAACCUGGGAACUGCGUCUGAUACUGGAUGGCUUGAAUCCGGGAGAGGGAUGCAGAAUUCCUGGUGUAGCGGUGAAAUGCGCAGAUAUCAGGAAGAACACCCGUGGCUAAGGCGGUUCUCUAGUACGGUACUGACGCUGAGACGCGAAAGCGUGGGGAGCGAACAGG
rnacentral:rRNA from 1 species